UCUAUAUAUUUGUCAAAUCUCUUUCUGUCAUAUUCAUUCAAUUUCAUACUCACUUUUUGUUCAUAUCCUUCACAUCAUAUUGUGAUCGAUAGUCUAAGCGACAUCCGAUUCCGAUCCUGUGAACUACCCAAUUUCUACCAAUGCUAUGCUCUUCUCCCAGCUUAUUCCAUCCUUACCAACUCAGGUUUCUUGCCAAAGUACUAUUAAUUAGGAGGAGUAGCAACAAAACGUGGUUUAUUUUAGGAUUAGAGACAUUUCUAGUCUAAAAUUUAGGUGGAAGAGCCAGUUCUCAUAAUGUUUUCUGCUGUGUUUCUUCUUGGAAACAUAGCCACACCGUGUUUCCACCUUCGCUCAGGCCAAUCAAUCACUGCAUGGUGAAAUUUUCUGAGAAUGGGCUUCACAGGAAAAAUAUCUUCAGCAACUUCCUUGUUACUUGGACUGGUAACUUUUCUUUUCAAGCUUUUAGGAAUAUCCCUGGUCACAUUUGAAGUCACACGGAAAGACCAGCCUGCCCAUUCUUGUGACUACGAUGAAGCGAAUGCUCGUAGGUUCACAUUUGAUGAAUCUCCAAUGUUUGUGCCAGCCACAGCUGGCUAUGAGCUUGUUUGGGAUGCAACCACUGGCUAUGGUUCACAAGGCACAGGACUUGGGGAAAUAAUGUGCAAUGUUUUGGUGGUGAAUGCUUUUGGCCAUUUGUCAAAGGACUAUUUGGGAAGGGAAAAUAUGGAAUUGUCCACUAUAUUCAAGUCAGCUAUCUUGGCCUUGCUUUCAUAUUGUAUUCCCUUAUCCUCUAAGAGCUAGAUAAGCUUGGCUUUUGCCAUAUUUUUAUCUUCCUUGGAGUAAGAGCUAGCUUAUUGAAAAAAAAUGAUUGGCCUAUUGAGGCAGAUGAUAAACCUGUUGGAAGUUCAAAUAAAAACAUGAUGUCAAUGUUUGUGAGCUGCUUGAUGUCAAUGUUUGUGUGCUGCUUGAUGUCAAUGCUUGUGUGCUGCCAGCUGCUUUUCUCUCAUGCAGCUGCACCUACCAAAAUGGAGGUUUCCGAUGAUUGCAACCAGUAAAGUUGCUGCAAUGUGUGAGUGUGUGAAAAGUCUAAAGUUACAACAAAGUGAGUGUGAAAGGAUGUAAAGACUUUGAACACUUUAUUUUGUUGGGUAUGUGUUAAUCUUUUUUUGUUUUAAACAAUAGUUGUUGAAUAUGACUUUUGUAUGGAGUUUUUAUAAAAUCUCUAUAAAAGAGAUGUUUAUGUAUAUUUGAUAUUCAUUCCAUCCACAAGGAAUCAAAGUGUUAUCACCGAAGCUUGCUCUCCCUCUUUUAUUUCUUUUGUCCAAUUUUAUUGAGAGUGAAAGUGAGAGGUGUGAUAGAGUUAGUAAACUUAUCACUCAUAUUUUGGUAUCGAGUUAGUAAACUUUGAAUACCAACAAAACCAGUAAGAAUUUAAGGUAUGUUUACUUUAAUAAUGGAUUGGUUAUCAAGUAAUCAAACAUAUGGCAUUACCAGUUGUUUAUGAUCAUUGAUCAUACCCAAUCGGACCAAUCAUAUUCAUAUCUCGUGGUAAUUAUACAAACUACUCUAACCUAUAGUUUACACUGCCCAUUUUAUGAAAGCAAAUCUAAUCAUUCCUUUUUUUUUUUUUUUUUUUUUUUUUGCGCUAAUCAAAUUUUACAAAUACUUCUUGCUUGCUACGCACCUGUUUGGGGUGGGCUUCUCUACUAACCCCGAGACUGAAAGCAUGCUUAUUAUGAUCUCACCAUAAAGUGUAACAGAUCUCUCACCCUCUUAAUUUAUCCUUUAUAUGCAGAUGAUUACUUUAAAUUC